UUCUGACAGUGGCCAUGCCAGGUGCUUCAGAGUAAGGGUUUUCAGGAAUGGGCCUCUACUAGACAGCAACCAAAAGGAAAUAAAUCUAAUAUAAUGGUGUAGUAGAAAGUAUUACAGUAUUGGGGAAAAAAAUCUUUAGCACUAAAUUGAAUUCAACUCCAAUUAUAACAUCUCUCAGCUGAGUGUCUUCUACUUGAAUCAGAAGACAUACCUCUUCUCUUUUGAAGUUCAAAAUGAAACUGCUCUUCACUGCUAGAUAAAUCCACUUGAAAAUGGGAACAAAUUUCUUUCAGAACCCAUCUCCAAGGAUGCAAAGAAACACCCUGGCAUCCUUCACCUAGGAAGUACACAGCCAGCAAGUUUGCUUCAUGGAAAAAAGGCUCUCAAGCAGGGUUGGCUGAAGAAGCUGGAGAGAACUUUGGGUGAGACAAGCUUCUUUGGCCAGGAAGAUUUGAUCUCAUGAAAGUUUGCAGGGUGUGGGCAAGCACUGUGCAAGCUUCCUGGAGAGCUGUGCAUGUCAACACCACUCAUGAACAACGCCAUGUGCUCUGUGUCAAGGUGUGUGCCAGUAACAGCAGCAGUGAAACUGAAGCAGCAGCAGGCUACGUGACCUGCCCAAGACCUCUUGGCAGAGAGGCUGUAGGAGAUUGUAAUGUUAAUUCUGAAGCCUGUGAAGGGAGCUGAACCAUGAUGGGGGAUGUGACUCACCUUGGAGAAGUCGGCAUUUUCCUGCUGAGUGAAAGCAGGAAGUUUCAGCCUGCUAGCACAGAUGUGCUACUGGACAUUACAACGGUGGAGUAAUUAUAUCAACAGGAGAGCGCUCUCCUGUCGACAUAGAACGUCUUCACCAGAUAUGCUGAAUCAGCACUGCUGCAUCGAUGUCAAUUUAGCACAGUAGUGAAGACAAGCCCUGAGUGAGCAAUUCAGAUAUUACUCAUUUGUCACCUCAUUGGCACAAAUAAAAGCUCUUCUGCAA